AUUGAACGCUGGCGGCAGGCCUAACACAUGCAAGUCGAGCGGAUGAAGGGAGCUUGCUCCUGGAUUCAGCGGCGGACGGGUGAGUAAUGCCUAGGAAUCUGCCUGGUAGUGGGGGAUAACGUCCGGAAACGGGCGCUAAUACCGCAUACGUCCUGAGGGAGAAAGUGGGGGAUCUUCGGACCUCACGCUAUCAGAUGAGCCUAGGUCGGACUAGCUAGUUGGUGGGGUAAAGGCCUACCAAGGCGACGAUCCGUAACGGGUCUGAGAGGAUGAUCAGUCACACAGGAACUGAAACACGGUCCAGACUCCUACGGGAGGCAGCAGUGGGGAAUAUUGGACAAUGGACGCAAGCCUGAUCCAGCCAUGCCGCGUGUGUGAAGAAGGUCUUCGGAUUGUAAAGCACUUUAAGUUGGGAGGAAGGGCAGUAAGUUAAUACCUUGCUGUUUUGACGUUACCAACAAAGUAAGCACCGGCUAACUUCGUG
rnacentral:rRNA from 1 species